rnacentral:pre_miRNA from 14 species
CUUCUGAGAUGAGGGAGGUCGCUGAUCCUGGACAAGCCCCCAAAUGAAAGACCCCUGGAGCGGGGAGACCCUCACUCAAGUCUCGGGAUGAUGCAAUCCCCCAAGAACUCACAUGAGACC